rnacentral:rRNA from 1 species
GACGAACGCUGGCGGCGUGCUUAACACAUGCAAGUCGAACGGCAAGGCCCUGCUUUUGUGGGGUGCUCGAUUGGCGAACGCGUGAGUAACACGUGAGUAACCUGCCCUUGACUUUCGGAUAACUUCAGGAAACUGGGGCUAAUACCGGAUAGGAGCUCCUGCUGCAUGGUGGGGGUUGGAAAGUUUCGGCGGUUGGGGAUGGACUAGCGGCUUAUCAGCUUGUUGGUGGGGUAGUGGCUUACCAAGGCUUUGACGGGUAGCCGGCCUGAGAGGGUGACCGGCCACCUUGGGACUAAGAUACGGCGCAGACUGCUACGGGAGGCAGUGGGCGGGAAUAUUGCACAAUGGGCGGAAGCCUGAGGAAGCAGCGCCGCGGGCGUGAAGACGGCCUGUGGGGUAUAAACAGCUUUCGGCUGUGACGAAGCGUGAGUGACGGUAAUGGGUAAAGAAGCACCGGCUAACUACGUG